rnacentral:lncRNA from 1 species
UACUAAACACUAUCUCAACUUCUAAAUACUGAAUCAUAAAAUCAUAAUCCAAAUAUAAACUAUAAUUAGGUGACUGAAUGACAGUAAAAUAAAUAGACAAAAUAUAAGACUUUUCAAUAAAGAAUACAUUCUGUAUUAACCCAAUACACAACUUUUAAAUACUAAACUCAAACCAAACUUUAAAAUAUUAAACUCAAAUAUAAAUCUUAAUUAUCAACCCUAAAUCCAAUUAUCAAAAUAUGAAAAUAGUAUAAUAUUAAACUAAAUCGAGGCCUAACUUUUGAAUAGUAUAGGGCUCUAACCCAAAACACAACUUCUAAAUCCUAAUCAAAUACCUAACUUUUGAAUACUAAACCUUAAACUGCUAUCACUAAACCCAAACCUCAACUUCUAUUUUUCAAAUACUAAACCCUAAAUCCUAAUCACUAAACCCUAAACCCAAAUGUAAACUUUAAAACUCAAAUAGAAUGGAACAAAAUACAUAGUAUAGUACAUAUUGGUGAACAAAAUAGAACACUCUUUAUUAAUCGUCAAAUGGAAUGAUAAGGAUAGGUCACUAAACUCAAACCUCAACCCUACCUUCCAAAUACUAAAUCCUAAAUCUUAAUCGUUAAACCCU